GCCCCAGAUAGCAGGGGCAGUGCCAGGGGGCCGCAGGAAGUGGGGCUGAAGACUCUGUAAUUCUAAACCAUCUGUGUAAACACAGCUUCAGGUCCAGCCCCUGUGUUCAGUCCCCGCCCCAUAGUCUGCAGUCCCUUCCCUGUACGCAUAAUCCUUUGAACUAACAUUUUUUGGCAGGAGACUCUUCUCCUGGAGGCUCACAGCUGGAGGCUUCAGUCCUGGGAGACUUCCUGGGGCAGGUGACACUUGAGCCUGGGAAGGCAGUGACCAAGGAGCAGUCUGGAGAAAGGCCAACAGGAGGGAGCCUGAAGGCUCCUGGGAACAGGUCUGGCAGGGGAGGGUCAGGAGGGGCCAGGGUUCCUGAUACAUACAAAAUGCCACUCAACCUCACCACCUGUCACCUGUACAUUCAGGUUUCAGGGGAAUUCAACACUCAGGUCUCUUGUCCAGGUGACCCUACCAGGCAGGGUCCCUGUGAGGUUGAGCUCAUCUCUAGUGUCCCUGUAUUUGUUCUGCUUCCUGCCCCGUCCCCACCCCCAUCAUCCUGUGGUGUAAGCCUGGAAUCACUGAGGUCACCCUGCCCCAUUUUUCUUCUGUAUAGACAGCGGCCAAAUUUUCUCUGAAAUUACUGGCCACAGGGUCUGCAGUGUGGCCUGCUGCUGUGGUCUUGGGCAUUGGUAUCGUUGCCAUCUCAGGGAUCACCUUAUACUCCUCGAAUAAGAGGAAAAUGAACUGAGAAUGGUAAAUCGGAUUGACAGAAAUCCUCCCCAUUGCAGCUCCAGAGGCAUCUGCAGGGCUGAAGGGUCCAGCUAUUUGGGAGAGUGCCGCUUCAUAUUUUAUAAUUUUAUAAUAUUUUAAAUGAUGAGACUUUGGUUGAUUGACCUUUUACUUUUCAGCAGCCUCCUCCUCCCCUGCCAGUAUUUUUAAAUAAAAAGUGCCAAGCUUGGCAGACAUAAUUCAUCUGAAACAAAACUUCAACUGCUAACCUCUCCAGAGACUAAGUAAAUAAUCCUAAGAAAAUAAAGAUAGUGCUUUAAAAGCUUUAAAA